rnacentral:tRNA from 1 species
UCGCGGUAUGGAGCAGUCUGGUAGCUCGUCGGGCUCAUAACCCGAAGGUCGUUGGUUCAAAUCCAGCUCCCGCAAU